CCUACGGGGGGCAGCAGUGGGGAAUAUUGCACAAUGGGGGAAACCCUGAUGCAGCAACGCCGCGUGAGUGAAGAAGUAUUUCGGUAUGUAAAGCUCCAUCAGUAGGGAAGAAGAAAGACGGUACCUGACCAAGAAGCCCCGGCUAACUACGUGCCAGCAGCCGCGGUAAUACGUAGGGGGCAAGCGUGAUCCGGAUUUACUGGGUGUAAAGGGAGCGUAGACGGCUGUGCAAGUCUGAAGGGAAAGGCCGUGGCUCAACCGCGGAACUGCUUUGGAAACUGGAUAGCUUGAGUACUGGAGAGGCAGGCGGAAUGCCUAGUGUAGCGGUGAAAUGCGUAGAUAUUAGGAAGAACACCGAUGGCGAAGGCAGCCUGCUGGACAGAAACUGACGUUGAGGCUCGAAAGCGUGGGGAGCAAACAGGAUUAGAUACCCUUGUAGUC
rnacentral:rRNA from 1 species